AUGGAUCUCGGCCAACGACCCAUGCUUGACCCGGAGUUCAACUUCACUUUCCGCGUUACAUCGAGGUCACUCUGGGUCAGUGAAUGCGUCCAGCCCGGCAUCUAUGUGGAGGUGUCCUACCGCGGCGUCUCGUUGGCAUCCAGCGGAACCAUGACGGAGCGGAUCUGCGCCAGGCCGAGGAACGUGACUGACCAUGCCGACAUAGCAAGGGGCGCCGGGGUGGUCGUGCCAGGGAUCACCACCCCUCCGUCGUUCCACAGCCGGCGGUGGAAGCCGGAAGGCGGUACUCAGGCUGUGAAUGCUGCCGGCUUAUGGUGCGUGGGGCUGGCGGCCAUGGCUGCCGUGUGCUUCUUCCUGGACCAGACCCAGGGGAUGACGCCCUACUUCUCCAUCGCCAUCAACUCUCUCUCAGGGCUCGACCCCGCAACGCACCUCGGUCGCCGGUCCAUGGUAGAUCCGGAGUUCAACCUCACUUUGCGUGUCGCCUCGCACAAACUCUGGACCACCGAGUGCGCCAAGCCCGACAUGUACGUCGACGUGUUCUACCGCGGCAUCUUCCUAGCUGCCAGCGUGACCACGGCGGAAGAGAUCUGCGCCAGGCCGAAGAAAGCAGUGGAUCGCCCUAUCAUCGCGAGGGGCAUCGGGGUGGUCGUCCCCGGACCCAUGCUGGGUAGCCUCGCCGGGGACAUGAGUGGCAGAGUUCAAGUGUUCGACGUCAUGCUCCAUGGCAGCAACGCCAAGCACUCGCACUGGUCGUGGUAUUGCGGGGCAAGGCGUGUCGGCGAUGCCCGUGCCUUACGAGCAGAGUGCGUCUCCGACUAG
rnacentral:rRNA from 1 species